GAAAUGCGAUACGUAAUGUGAAUUGCAGAAUUCAGUGAAUCAUCGAAUCUUUGAACGCACCUUGCACUCUUUGGUAUUCCGAAGAGUAUGUCUGUUUGAGUGUCAUGAAACUCUCAACCCCCUUGUUUGGUAAUGAAGCAGGCGUGGGCUUGGAUUAUGGCUGUCUGCUGGACUCUUUAAUUAGAGACCGGCUCGGCUGAAAUACACGAGUAACCCAGUUUGAAUAUUAACGGCUUGACUCGGCGUAAUAGCUUUAUUUCGCUGAGGACGUUUCAUAUCAAGAUAGUGGUGCUUCUAAUGCGUCGUAGCGUCAGCUGCACACCUUUAAGCUUUAGACCUCAAAUCAGUCAGGACUACCCGCUGAACUUAAGC
rnacentral:misc_RNA from 1 species